rnacentral:misc_RNA from 1 species
GCUUUGUGUCUCUCUUCACCUAACUAUAACAACAAAGGACAAGGUACAUGUGAGUAGCUAGGUAUAUAUCAUGUUAGAGGCCUAAUUUACAUAUAUAUAAUUAAAAGAAAAUUGCUAUAUUUUUUAGGUGGAUCUGGAUCUUCACCUAAAAAUUUUCGCAAAUAACAAGGAUGAUUAAAGCUCCCUAUAAAUGCUUCACUUGCUAUUUGACUUUUACAUGUAUAACAAGAGGCAAGUGGACAAAAAGGUUAAUUCUAGCUGAGAUUCCAUGUGGGGCAUAUUCAGGACAGAGUUUUCAGACUUUCACAUUGGUUGUAAAUAUGUGUGUGGGUUUAUAAAAAUGUGCUAAGACUCCUUUCGAUCAGCAAUUUUCUGGGUGUUAGUGUUGGUACAGUAACUCCUAUACUUCCGUGUGUAUGUAUCUGCCUAAAGAAAAAAAGAAACAAAAGGCCUUGAACCGGUGUGGUCUAAUUGAGGUCUCAUGUGAGUCCUGUCCAAGACAGAGACUUCGGGUGUGGAUGUGUGUGCGUUUGAGUUUAUAGGUAUGUGCUAAGGCUCCACCCAGUCAGCAAUUGCAUGAAAUGUAUUAAUGUAUUUCUUAACAUUUUUUCUUAGUAUAGCCCAUGAAGGCCUCCUCAUAUGAUGAAAAAUUAUAAUGUUUUUAAGGCCACUGCAUUCAUUGUCUGAUACUGUCAUAAUUCAUAAAGAUGCAUAACCUGCUCCCGACCGGCCUCUCUUUUUAAUUUCUUUUCAACAAGAACAUUGCAUUGAAUCAAAACUUUUGGUUAAAAUUUUUACAUUGAAAAAUAAAAUAAUUACUAAAAUUUCUGUUGCAACUACAAUACGCAAGUUAUUUAUGAUCCUUUGCUUGCCUUUCAACUGGUUCUCGACAACCUAAAACCUAAACCAAAAUGCUAUCUGGCGAUAUUUUACAGUCUAAUCACUAAAAUACUCAAAAGAUGCGUCCAGAGGGACGGCACCACUCCAUUUACCAGUUCUACCAAGUAAAGAUUGAAAGGUCAGAGAUGAUUAAAGGAAAAGAAAUGAUCAACAAUGUUAGUGUCGUAGAAUAAUCUACACGAGUAAAAAACUAAUUUGCACAAUUUUACUGUAAAGUGAAAGCUACAGUCAAUAAAAUAGCUGCCACCUAAAACUUGAUAGAGAUGCUCCAGGGUAUACUGGACUUACCACCGAUGAUAGAUUAUGUGAAAUAGUUUUGCUUUUGAUGGAAAGCUCUCUUAAUUUCUGAUGAGACAGGUUUGGCAAUUACUAAGCUCACUCACUCACUUGAUCAUCCAGAUCUUUGCUAUAAUACUGAAGGAUGCUGUAGCCUUCUAAUGGCUAUCCACUAGACUUCACUCUAUUCAAUGCCUGCCCUUUUUAUCUAAAACCAUCUCCUAUUGUGUUGCUCUUUGUUGGUCUCUUGGCCUUCCUUAGCUCCUCAGUACCGGCUUGAAAAUUGGAAUUACUCGUAGGAGAGCAGCACUCAUCCUUGCAACACCAGAUUAAAAUCAGUUUCCGUUAACUCCUAUUUUCUGUAACCAAUUUGUGUCAUUUCCUGAUGGGAAAUCUAUCUCAAAUUCUAUCCUUUCCAGUCUCGUCAAUCUCCUAUCUAAAGUUCUUAUUUCUCUCCGUGCUCACAUUUCCGGCUUAUAUUCUUUCCCAAAGUAGUCAAUAGAGAAAAAAGAGGACUCCAUCAAGCUAGUACAGACGCAAUGCCAACCAUCUACUGUAAAAGAAAUUUCUGCUUGUUUCAUUGUAGUUUCAUAAAGAUGGAUAAUGCCUAAAAAUUCUGUUAGCCAUCUAUAAAAUGAUCUGUCAUUUUUUUUUUAAUUUAAAGUUCACAGCAGAAUUUAUGAAGCCUCAUCCACCUUUUCAGAAGCAUUAUUUGGUUCUUUUUCGCCUCUAGAUUGGUAUCUUCGAAUUCCAAGAGUCUUGCAAUCCCAGACAAUCUCAGAUAUCUCAUCUUGAGGCAAAGUCAGACCUUGAUGUUUUAUUGAUCUAUGUAACCUGCAAAAGGAUUUUGGGUCUUGUAGUUUCAUGUAUUCAUGCAAGACCCUUUCAUGAUCUGGGAUCCAAUUCCUCGGAAAUGGUGUAUAAUCACAAGAUGGAAUCAAAGACAUAUGGGAGAACUGAACUCCUUCAAUUGCAUCCACAAGUCCCAUCCUCAAAAGAUCAGAAUAUUCAGGUACAGAAUUGUUGCUACUCUCCCUCAGUGGCCGACUGAGAUCACGUGAAGCAAUCUUGUAUACCUUAGCACGUGAUUUGAGCCUAUACCUGGCAGCAUAAAGUUUCGCCAAUGAGCUACGUAUCACGUAAGCACAAAAUCCAACAACUUUCUUUCGAUUAUCAGCAUAUCUAUACCAAUCAGCCAUGGUCUCAAGAAACUUGUUCAUUUGGGCAUUAGUAUGAGCUUGACUUGAAUAAAGCAUUGGAGUACAAGGCAAGGGCUCUGGAUCUUUAUCACCCUUAACAAACUCAAGGCGCCUAAAUUGACGUAUACACUGUUGCAAGCUAGCAGUAACUGAAAGCAAAGUCCCCACGCCCUUUUCACUUACAAUUUUGCCUCCACUUGCCGUGUAAUGAAGAGUGGGGUGUAUCACCCUGCGGCAAAUUAUAUGAUCCAAAAACUGAAUUCCCCUGGUUAUGUGUUCAAUCUCAAAUUUAGAAUUAUCCAACCUGAUCCCCAACUUACUCUCACAAAACUGGAUGAUUUCCUUUCGAGUUUGCACUGCAUCCUCUCUAGGCCCUCGAAUGCCAAUUAGAAAAUGACCCCCAUAUCGAAUGUAAUUCAUUUUCCGGGUCUUCUCUUUCCCACUAGAAGGAACAAACUCCGGCCAAGAAGGGUUAUGACACCCAUCAUCAGUUGAAUCUUUCCAUAUUGAGUCAAGCUUAUUUGGCCUAAAGAACUUAACUAUUUUCUCUUCCAUCAUUUGGUCCAAUUCAUUAAGACAAACAUUAGCAAGCAAAGGACUCAAAAUCCCACAAUAACCAUAAUUGGGUAUCUUCAUUGCCUCCUCUGGAGCAAAAUCAAAGAAAGUUCUCAACCAAUAUGGGUCAGGUUUUGGCUCAUUCUCAUUCAAAAUCUUCUUCUUUGUAGCCCCCUUCUUUUUCUUCCGUCUCAACUCUUCACUAACACCGCUCUUUGGUGGUUGUCGACUCCUAGUUGCCGGUUUAAGCGCAGUUUUUAUCAAAUUUAACACUUUCUUAUCUUUAACAACCUUUUCAACACAUCCCAUGACAAUAUUAGCAUCAAUAGCAACAAGAAGCUCACUUAUAUCACCUCUCAGAAACCAUAAAUAUCCUGCAAAAUGACUCCUUAUAGUCCUAAUUACAGUGUGUGCAUUCCUCCCAGGCCUAAAGGCGUGUGACUUACUCGAAAACCGGGCUUCAAAAAAGGGCUCCAGCACCAUGAGCAGCACCUCCUGAACCACCCGAUCCUGAAAGCACGGAUCGUCCGAAUCCAGCAUUGCUUUGAGCUUCGUUUUGGAGACGAGUUUCGUUAACGGCUUGUCGUUUGGGCUGCGGAUGAUUUGGUGGGCCUUAUCAUUCCACUUGAAGCGGUUGUGAACAACAGCGUUUUGGAGGGAGAGGAGAGAAUGAAGGGUGUGGGACUGGACGGCACUGCGGGGAGGGAACGUGCCCGUAACGUGAGCGCAGGAACGCUGGUAAGCGAGGACCCAGAGGUCGAGUUUUGAGAGGAAGCCGGUGACAUUAGGGAAAGUGGCGUCUGGAGGUGAAGAGAAGGAUUUGACCCAGAGAGAAGUGCAGAUUUCGAUUGGGUCUUCUUUUAGGAGAGAGUAUGGAUCUUGGUGAGUAGCGAGGGAAGAUAAAGAGCGAAGGCAAGAGAGAGAGUUCAAGAAGGAAAUGGAGGAGGGAAGGUAUUUGAUAAAUGUUCUAAGUGACAUAUUUCUGGAUGCUAGGUGCGGUUUAAGGGAAAAGUGCGGGUUAUCUGCACGUGUUUUGGUUUUUGGGUUCAGCAGAUGAGGAGGUAGGGAGUAGGGCGAAAGCGACGGAAGUAGAAGAGGGUGUGGCCGCGUCACUGGUGGUUGUUCUCGGUGACAUCUCCUGCAGGGUUGCUUUAGUGGCUAAUUGUUGGCACCCGGCGGGGGCUCGUUUUCAAGUACGAUGCUGUGAUUUUAAACGUCCUCUCGGCCACGGCUAAAAUGCUCGCGUGGAAAUGAUUCACUAUAUAAGUAUUUAAUUACCCAUUUACCCUCCUACCAUAAUUUACCAAAUUUCUUUUCCUUGCAUUGUGAGUUGGGGCGGAAAAAAAAAUCAAUGCAGA